rnacentral:rRNA from 1 species
GAGGGUUAAUUAACCCGUGAAUACCCUACUUAUAAAACGGGGAUACCUUCGGAAACCCGGACCUAAUCCCGAAUAACAUAUUGACCCGCAGGGUUCAUUAGGGAAGGGGGGUUUUGUUGUCAUUUAUAAAGGGACCCCCCCCGUAUUACCUAGUUGGAAGGGAAACGGUUUACCAGGGCAACAAUCCUUACCCAACCUGAGAGGGUGAUCGGCCCCCCUGAACCUAAAACCCGGCCCAAACUCCUACGGGAGGCACCAUUAGGAAAUCUUCCGCAAGGGGCAAAACCCUGACGAACCACCCCCGCGUGAGUAAUAAAGGUCUUCGAAUCGAAAAACUCUGUUAUCGGGAAAAAACAAUUGUGUAAGUACCUGUGCCCUUCUUGCGGGUCCCUGAUCAAAAACCCCCGGUUAACUCCUUGCCACCACCGGGGGAAAUACGUAGGUGGCAAGCGUUAUCC